CCAGACAAUACGAUUUCAUUCAUAUAUCUCAGUUUAAAGGCAACCGCGCAACGAAGAGGAACGAUCUAAAAUAGCUGCACACAAACUUUUAAAAAAUAAUUCAAGAUGCAACUCAUGAAUGAACUGCUAGACAGUGCUAAGAUAACAUUUUCAUCGAUAUGCAACGAUGUCAGUUUAGAAAACUUGGACCAUCAAUUGGCAAAUGCUGCCUUGGAAGUAUUCAAAUCCGGCAACAUGACCCCUCUAAUUAAAGAAGAACUGAAAACAAAGAUACAAGCUUCAAGACUUAAACGAGGAAAGGAUGAACUGACGGUAGAGUUUAAGUCUGAACAAAAAUACGAGCUAAGUGAUGAAGAAAAGGCACGUAUAAGCAAGAGAAAGGAAGCUAAUAGACUGGCAGCCGUAAGGUUUAGACAGAGAAGAAAAAGCAAGGAACAGCAAUUGUCUGAGGAAUGUGAUAGCCUGGAGGCGAGGAACGUCGCAUUGAUGCGGGAGUUGGAAGACCUGCAACAGCAGAAGGGGGGACUUCUGGCCGCGAUAUCACAGAUAAGAAGUCCCCCCAGCCCACCUUAACUUGUUAUUAACUAUAUAAAUAGCCUAUCAAAAUAAUGGCAGUGGCCAGUUACAUACAACUUAAGCCAAUUAGAACGCUAAGUUUGGCGUUACUGAAUAUUCAUAUAAAUGACCUUAUGACCUCAAUGGACUCCUGUACAUACCAGUUGUCUCUUCAUGUUAUUCUUGUAUAUGGAUUAUGUGAACUUUGUAAAAUAUUGUAUUUUGCAUUUAUACUGCCAUUCAAACUUAAAGCCAUAUUUAAAUGUACAUUACACGAGCUGUAUGAGAUUUACACUCAUUGUAGGUUGUAGGCCUAAUUAAGUAUAAACUUACUUCUUGUAAAGGGUAGCCUAAACCAUGAAUAUGUAUACCUUUUUGAAAAGAAAAUGAUAUGUAUUAUUGAAACUAUUGUAUGUCUUCCAUCUUGUAAUCUCACUUAUAUAAGUGGGACUAUAUAAUACCAAAGAAACCCAACAACCCCAGACGUCGAGGACCAGCAACCCUCAGCCAUCUGCGCAUCAAUAAUUACAGGAGUCAGAAUAUGACCGUUCAACAGACUGUCAGUCAGGGAAAUAACAAAACAUUCCAUUUCCGAAAUUUAUUGUCUUAGAAUAGAUAGAUAAAAACCUCAUCAUUCAACCCGUUGUGUUUUUAAUACCAUAUUUGUAUUCAUACUUAAAUUCAUUUAUUGUAGUCAUUAUGUUUCAUUUUUUUUAUUUCUUUAAUUUCAAAUGUCUCCAUGAUAUAGAAUUAGUUACCAAUUAAUUAGCACCUUAUUAAAAUGUCAAUCAGUUAAAUGUCAAGCAAUCUUGAUUAUAGUCUAGUUAAUUUGAAGCUAUUUUUGUUAAUAACUGAUUUAGAAGUUCCUGUUUGCCAAAUGUUGUGAAUUUAAGCUGGUAUGAGUGCUUGAUAAUGAUAAACAUUCUUUUAUUUUUAAAUGAAAAAGUCUGUGUAUCACUUGUUGUGUAUAUAAUAAAUUGUUAAAUGGUUUGUAAGAAAAUAAAAAUAUGUAAAGGUGGGUGAAUAUUAUAGUAAACUAGGGUUCUUAUCCACAAAAACUAAAAUAGUUUAAGAAUAUUGCCUUUUCAUUGGCUUGUAAAAGGUUUUUGUCCCUCAACCAAUGACAUGACCGUAUCCUUAAAUAUUUCAGUUUUCAUGAAUAAGGCCCCAAAGGGUCUCAUUCCAAAAUAACUAAACCAUCUAAAAUAAUUUAAGGGUAUAGUUCGUUGAUUGCAUGAGCACUGAACUCAUGUCACAGAUUUUAUCUCUUAGCUAAUGGAUGGUCUGGAUCCUGACGGCAUUUUAGUUUUUUUGUUGUUUUUGUUUUGGUGAAUAAGACUCCACAAAGAUUAAAUGUAUAGGUUUACACAUUAUACUUAUUAGUUGUUAAUGGCAGGUAAAUGAUAUUUUAAGCAAGACUUACAAAUUUUGAUUUCGAAAUCAAAAUACUUCUAAGUAUGUGGUUAAUUUGAUUAGUCAAGGUUUUGUUAAAAUGGAAACUAUUUCAUGCGAUAUGAAUGCUUUUUUUUAAGUUUUUGUUUAAUUUGUUUGUUUUUAAAGUGAAUUUUAUGAUAAAAAUGGCGGAAAAUAAGAGUUGUUAAAAUGUUCUUGUAAAUACUAUGUAAGAAUCAUUGGAAAGGUGCAUAGAUAUCUUUAUUAUG